rnacentral:rRNA from 1 species
UUUGAUUCUGGCUCAGAUUGAACGCUGGCGGGAUGCUUUACACAUGCAAAGUCGAACGGCGGCACGGACUUCGGUCUGGUGGCGAGUGGCGAACGGGUGAGUAAUGUAUCGGAACCAUGCUAAUGGCGAGGGGAUAACUACGCGAAAGCGUAGCCUAAUACCGCAUACGCCCUUCGGGAAAGCGGGGGACCUUCGGGCCUCGCACUAUGCAGAGCGGCCGAUAUCGGAUUGGCUAGUUGGUGGGGUAACGGCUCACCAAGGCGACGUUACCGUAGCUGGUUUGAAGAGGACGACCAGCCACCGGACUGGGUGGCCGCCCGAACUCCUACGGGAGGCAGCAGUGGGGAAUUUUGGACAAUGGGGAAACCCUGAUCCGUAUCCGUAUUGCGAUGAAGGCCUUCGGGUUGUAAAGCACUUUUGGCAGGAAAGAAACGGCACGGAGUAAUACCCCGUGCAACUGGCGGUGCACCUGCAGAAUAAGCACCGGCCCCAACUACGUGCCAGCAGCCACGCGGUAAUACGUAGGGUGCAAGCGUUAAUCGGAAUUACUGAAUAAAGCGUGCGCAGGCGGUUCGGAAAAGAAGAUGUAGAUCCCAGAGCUUAACUUUGGAAUUUGGCACGCUACCCGAGCUAGAGUGUGUCAGAGGAGGUGGAAUUCCGCGUGUAGCAGUGAAAUGCAUGAACGUCUGCGGAGGAACACCGAUGGCGAAGGCAGCCUCUGGGAUAACACUGACGCUCAUGCACGAAAGCGUGAGGGGGCAAACAGGAUUAAGAUACCCUGGUAGUCCGCUACAAACGAUGUCAACCAGCUGUUGGGACAGGUAUUUCGGGCCUUGGUAGCGCAGCUAACGCGUGAAGUUGACCGCCUGGGAGUACGGUCGCAAGAUUAAAACUCAAAGGAAUGACGGGGACCCGCACAAGCGGUGGAUGAUGUGGAUUAAUUCAGUGCAGCAUGAAAAGCCUUACCUACCCUUGACAUGUCUGGAGAUCCCGAAGAGAUUUGGGAGUGCCUCGCAAGAGAGAACCGGAACACAGGUGCUGCAUGGCUGUCGUAGCUCGUGUCGUGAAUGCCCAGGUUAAGUCCCGCAACGAGCACAACCAUAUCGCUAGUUGCUACGAAAGGGCCUCUAAUGAGACUGCCGGUGACAAACCGGAGGAAGGUGGGGAUGACGUCAAGUCCUCAUGGCCCUUGUGUUAGGGCUUCACACGUCAUACAAUGGUCGGGACAGAGGUCGCCAACCCGCGAGGAGCCAAUCCCAGAAACCCGAUCGUAGUCCGGAUCGCAGUCUGCAACUCGACUGCGUGAAGUCGGAAUCGCUAGUAAUCGCGGAUCAGCAUGUCGCGGUGAAUACGUUCCCAGGUCUUGUACACCGCCCGCAUCACCACCAUGGGAAUUAGGUUUUACCAGAAGUAGUUAGCCUAACCGUAAGGAGGGCGAUUACCACAUUAGGAUUCAUGACUGGGGGUGAAGUCGUAACUAAGGUAG